GAUGAAGAACGCAGCGAAAUGCGAUACUUGGUGUGAAUUGCAGAAUCCCGUGAACCAUCGAGUCUUUGAACGCAAGUUGCGCCCGUAGCCAUUAGGCCGAGGGCACGUCUGCCUGGGCGUCACACAACGUUGCCCCCCCAAACCUCGACUUACAAGAGGACGGGGGGCGGAUGCUGGCCUCCCGUGUGCCACGGCUCGCGGUUGGCCUAAAUGCGAGUACUCGGCGACGAGCGCCGCGGCAAUCGGUGGUUGUCUAACCCUCGGUGCCAUGCUGCGCGCGCGAUUCGCUCACUGUUACUCGACGACCCCAAUGCGUCGUAGCCACGACCCUCACAACGCGACCCCAGGUCAGGCGGGGCUACCCGCUGAGUUUAAGCAUAUCAAUAAGCGGAGGA
rnacentral:misc_RNA from 1 species